GAUGAACGCUGGCGGCGUGCUUAACACAUGCAAGUCGAACGGAAAGGCUCCUGCUUGCAGGGGUACUCGAGUGGCGAACGGGUGAGUAACACGUGGGUGAUCUGCCCUGCACUUCGGGAUAAGCCUGGGAAACUGGGUCUAAUACCGGAUAGGACCACAUUUUGGAUGGUGUGGUGGAAAGUUUUUCGGUGUGGGAUGAGCUCGCGGCCUAUCAGCUUGUUGGUGGGGUAAUGGCCUACCAAGGCGUCGACGGGUAGCCGGCCUGAGAGGGUGUACGGCCACAUUGGGACUGAGAUACGGCCCAGACUCCUACGGGAGGCAGCAGUGGGGAAUAUUGCACAAUGGGCGCAAGCCUGAUGCAGCGACGCCGCGUGGGGGAUGACGGCCUUCGGGUUGUAAACUCCUUUCGCUAGGGACGAAGCGCAAGGGACGGUACCGGGAGAAGAAGCACCGGCUAACUACGU
rnacentral:rRNA from 1 species